UGCCGCAGCAAACGCAUUAAGUAUUCCACCUGGGGAGUACGUUCGCAAGAAUGAAACUCAAAGGAAUUGACGGGGACCCGCACAAGCGGUGGAGCAUGUGGUUUAAUUUGAAGCAACGCGGAGAACCUUACCAAGCCUUGACAUCCUCCUGACGGCCCCUUAGCCGGGGAGUCCCUUCGGGGCAGGAGAGACAGGUGGUGCAUGGUUGUCGUCAGCUCGUGUCGUGAGAUGUUGGGUUAAGUCCCGCAACGAGCGCAACCCUUAUCCUCAGUAGCCAGCGGUCCGGCCGGGCACUCUGUGGAGACUGCCGGAGAUAAUCCGGAGGAAGGUGGGGAUGACGUCAAAUCAUCAUGCCCCUUAUGGCUUGGGCUACACACGUGCUACAAUGGCGGUAACAGAGUGAAGCAGCCUCGCGAGAGUGAGCCAACCACAAAAAAACCGUCCCAGUUCGGAUUGUAGUCUGCAACCCGACUACAUGAAGCUGGAAUCGCUAGUAAUCGCAGAUCAGAAUGCUGCGGUGAAUACGUUCCCGGGUCUUGUACACACCGCCCGUCACACCAUGGGAGUCGGAAAUGCCCGAAGCCAGUGACCCGACCUUAGGGAGGGAACUGUCGAAGGUGGAGCCGAUAACUGGGGUGAAGUCGUAACAAGGUAGCCGUAUCGGAAGGUGCGGUUGGAUCACCUCCU
rnacentral:rRNA from 1 species